rnacentral:ncRNA from 2 species
GCAGGUGCGAAAUGCGACGAUGCCGGGGCUGUGAGGGGAGCGCGAGGAAGCCGGUGUGAAUCCGGCGCCGUGCCCGCGACUGUGACCGGACCUGGAUCCGGGAGUCAGGAACUCGUCCCCCUCGUCACUCGACC